UCGAUCCUCCCAGCCCUGUCCGUAGCGAGAGGAAGAAGGCAGAAGAGGCAAAGCAUUUCCUUUCCCAUUGGCAUGAAAGAUAAGUUGGAACAUUGAAAACAAAUGGAUGACAAAGCAAAGAGGAAGAAAGUGAUGAUGCCGAUUACCAAACUCGAGGCUGCGACCCGAGGAUAACUUUUUUUGAUUGGACAUUGUUCUUGAUAUCACGGUGUCAUGACGGAACUUUUUUCCCACGGGGGAUAAAAGAGAUACACCCGUCUCGGAGUUGUGAGACAAAGUACAAUUCGGGAGGGUUUUUUUUUAUAUUCCCCACGUCACGGGUUCAAAUAUAGGCUGGAAAAAUGGAAUAAGUUCUGAGGGGAAAAAAGAGCAAUUCCACAAAGGAGCGGCAGUUGUUUUUUUUUUUAAACAGGAAACACUCCCAGAAAAGAAUAACGGAUUUUAAACGUGUUUUGGGUGGACUCACCUACCCACGAGACUUGGGCUUGGAAUAACACUCCAUAAAAGAGGACAAAAAAACGGCCCAAUGAAAAUGUUAACCGGGUGAAGAAGUUGGACAAAUCGCCAGAAGCCCAAUGAGUGGGACGCAGUCAACACUCACUGAUAGGACCCCAAGCAUUCUCAACAAGGAGCCGACAGAGAGGAAGCCAAAGAAUGACAAAUCCUCUGUCUCGCUCAAACAUGAGUUUGACCCCACCGGCCUCGUCCAGCGAUGUGUGAUAAUCCAGAGAGAUGAAAAUGGAUUUGGCCUGACAGUAAGUGGAGACAAUCCUGUGUUUGUGCAGCUGGUCAAAGAAGAUGGAGCUGCAAUGCGAGCGGGCGUCCAGACAGGAGAUAGAAUCAUUAAGGUUAACGGGACCUUAGUCACUCAAUCAAACCACAUUGAAGUUGUUAAGCUUAUAAAGUCCGGCUCCUACGUAGCCCUGACAGUGCUGGGCAGACCUCCAGGUCUUCCUCAGAUCCACCUGGAGGAGCACGAGGACAAAGAGGAGAAGCAUGAGGAGGGCAAGGGAGAGGAGGAGGAUCAAAUGCAGAACUCACCUGGCGGGGAGCAAUGUGGCAGCAGCCCUGAGGCACACCCUGCCUCCCCCUUGUCUGAUGGGGAUGGAUCCACAGUUUCUUGGAAAACUGAGGUUGAAGAGGGCGAUUAUGCCGUCUCUUUGUUUGGAGACAUGGCUAACGAAGGGCCUCGUACCAACAACACAUUGUUGAGCGGCAGCGGUGGCCGAGGCUUCAUCCCUCCAGAUACAGGACAAACGCCCCAUCAGAGUCCUGAUGUCAGCCGCCGAGAUGGCCUCAACUCCUGCUCAUCGGCCAACACCGAGGACAUCCAUAAGAAUGACACCAGUGCCCAGUGCAUUGUGGGCUGCCCUCCAUACCUCAUCCACCCUCAAAUUAUCGGAGCAGAAGAUGACUACUUUGACUCGCAGCAGGAGCAGAUUAACGGCCAGUGCAGCUGUUUCCAGAGCAUCGACUUGCUGAAGGGUCGGCCUGCUCACCUCGCCGUCUUCCUCCAUCACGUCGUCUCCCAGUUCGACCCCGCCCCUCUGCUGUGUUUUCUCUACGCCGACAUACACAAGCAAACAACCGCCAAAGAAAGUCGUCGCUUCUUCAUGGAAUUCCACUCCCUCUUCAUGGAUCGCACAGCUAACCUUAAAGUCCCAGUUCCAGACACAGUCGCGGCCGAACUUGAGAAACGCAGGCUGGAGUUAAUUCCGGAGGAAGUUUGCAAACAACACACACAAACCUUACAGGACUCACUGCUGACAGAUCUACACAAGAACCUGGACGACUUCAGACAGAAACGCAGCAUGGGACUGACCCUGGCUGAGGACGAGCUAUCCAAGCUUGACUCAGACGACGGAGGAAAAGAUCCGCUGGUCUGGGAGAGGGAAUGCUCCUGUGCGGAACACAUUCUCUCCAAGAUUGAGGACAUCCUAUUCACGUCGCAGCCCUCAGAAGAGGAAAAGUGCCAAACAAUGCAGUAUGUCAUUCUCACCUAUAUGAAGCACCUCGGGGUGAAAGUGAAGGAACCUCGUGGCCUGGAGCAGAAACGAGCGCGCAUCAAUUUCCUGCCCAAGAUUAAGGUGUGUGUUUUUAACCAACAGAAAAGCAUCAAGCAAGAGAAGGAAGGUGAAGAGAAGGUGAAAAAGCCUAGAUUUCCCAACAUCCUUGUCCCUCCCCGCCGUCUCAGCAGAGUAGACUCUACUUCGGUUGGCAAGGCUGUGGAGGUGAACAAGCAGCGUUCCCCAAAGCUGCUCCCUCAGGCGGCUUUUGGCAUCCCUGAGCCUCCAGACUUGUCCCCGUCAAAUUCCGGACGUGUCCGUGGGAAUCAGCUCAGCGAGGGAUCGGACACCGGCAGCCACGUUUUUCCUUUGAACUCCUCGUCCACGCACAGUUCACCCACCGCUUUGACUUCAGACACCAGUGGACAAGACUCUGACACCAACUUAUCACCGUUCUCCAUUCAGCCCCGACUGGGCGAGGUUCUGGCAUCCGGCGAGCACCAGGAUGGCGUCUCCAGCCCAACAAGCACUCAGUUCGACUUCAGCCCUUCAAACCUGGAACACUUACAGGAGGAAGGAGACCAAGACUCUUUCAGGAUGGAGGUGCAGUGCACGUCGAGUGCGGCUGACGUCCAGAGCGAGGACGACCAGGUGUGUGAGGCGGAGAGCGAGGAGGAUCCUCUAAACUGGCAAAGCCUGGUGAGCCGCGACGUGCUGGCGGGCUUGACACCGCAGGAGAUCAAGAGACAAGAGGUCAUCAACGAGCUGUUUUACACCGAACGAGCCCACCUGCGCAUGCUCAAAGUGCUGGACAGCGUUUUCUACCAAAGGCUGAGCAGAGACGCCAUUCUGCCUUCGGAGGACAUCAAGAGCCUCUUCAGUAACCUGGAGGAGAUCAUCCAGCUGCACGUUUCUUUAACAGAACAAAUGGCAGCGAUUAGAAAAAGGAGUGAGACCUCUGUCAUUGGUCAGAUCGGAGAGGAUCUCUUGGCUUGGUUCAGUGGUGAGGAAGAGGAGAAGAUAAACAGAGCGGUUGCCACAUUCUGCAGCAACCAGCCAUCCGCCCUGGAGCUCAUCAAGACCAAGAAGAAGAAAGACCAGCGGUUUACCUUGUUCAUGCGGGAGGCCGAGAGAAACCGCCUGUGUCGCCGGUUGCAGCUGAAAGACAUCAUUCCUGUGGAGAUGCAGCGAGCAACCAAGUACCCGCUUCUGUUGGAGAAGAUCGCCAAGUACACGGAGGAUGACGAGGAGGACGCUGAAAAGGUGAAGAAAGCCGUGGAAUGCUGCAAGCAGAUUCUCAACCAUGUCAACCAAGCCGUCAAAGAGGCCGAGAACAAGCAGAGGCUGGUGGAUUAUCAGAGAAGGUUGGACAUCUCGUCACUGAAACCCAACGAGAACCCGCUCAUCCUGGAGCUGAGGAACCUGGACCUCACUAAGAGGACGAUGGUCCAUGAAGGACCACUCUCCUGGAAGGUCAACAAGGACAAAAGAAUUGAUCUUUACACGCUGCUCCUGGAGGACAUUCUGGUUCUACUCCAGAAACAGGACGAGCGUUUGGUGCUCAAGUUCCACAGCAAGAACGUGGCGAGCGCCGCAGACACCAAACUCGCCUUCAGCCCCGUCAUCAAACUCAACACCGUGCUGGUCCGGCCCGUCGCCACAAACAACAAGUCCUUUUUCGUGCUCUCCAUGUCGGACAACGGGGCUCAGAUCUACGAGCUGACGGCUCAGAGCGUGUCCGACCAGAGAACUUGGCAGUGUCUGAUCACGCAGUGCGCCGACGCAAUGAAGGCCAAAUCGCACAGCAGCGACACAACUUCGACUCCAUCUGAAGGGGUGCAGGAAGCCAUCGAGAUCAUCAACAGUGGGAUGGAGAAGCCGAGCAAAGAUGGCAACGACCCCUCAGAGUCUUCAGACAUUCAGGCGGCUCCCACAACCCCCAGCAGUCCCUUCGACGGCACUAAGUUCGAGGACGAGGAGGAGGCGGAAGUGGAGGCGGAAGUGGAGGCGGAAGUGGAGGUGGAAGUGGAGGCGGAAGUGGAGGCGGAGGAGCCGUCUGCGGCGGAAACACGCGAAGAAGAGGAAGAAGACGGCGAGGUGGACGAGGAGGAGCUGGAGGCCUUCCUAGAUGGUCAGCUGGGCGACAAAUUGCCCUUCCUGCAGGAGGGUUGUCGUCAAGGCAUCGCCAUAGAGAGCGGCGAGGGCGAAAUGUUCGUGUCGCAACCCUCCAAGGCUGAAGAAGCUCUGAGAACAUUGGUGACGCUGAAGCAUUUUCUUUUCAACCACAUGAUGGCCAGCGAGGUGGCGGGGGGGAACGGCGAAGGCCGUAAUUGUCACAUGACCACACCUCCCGACACCCCUGAAGGUCCAAUAGCUGGGUGUACAGUGGGCGGAGCUUGUGAAAGCUCAGAAAAAGACGACAUUCAAACUGAACGCAACGGUGACUUCCUGGUUCUGGAUCCAGGCGGGGCCUCCGAAGACGACGACGGCGGAGACGCGGGGAUCGACAUGAGCAAGCUUCUGUCCUCGUCCUCACAGAUGGAGGGCGGCGGGCCCAACCUCAGCCGCCAGCUCAUGACGCACCUGCGCCUCCUGCAGGCCGACCUGCAGUACCUCAAGGAAGUGGAGCUGAAGUACAACCAGCUGCAAGGGACACAUUCUGACACGCCAACUAAUUUAGAUAAUGACGGGAUUCAGUGACGGCAGUCUUCCUGUUAUCUCUAAAAGGACUUGAAAGCAUCACGUAAAAAACACUGAAGAUUGUUGUUUAUUCUUCCGAUGACACUGGAUAUACGGCGGGGGUCACAGGCAUUACUCCCAUGGGACUUAAAUGGAGCCUCGAUAACCUGCCAUGUGGACAUCUUCUUAUUGUUACCCAGGACACGUUGAGGAGUAUGUCUUCCGCCUGGCAUGGGAACGCCUCGGGAUCCCCCGGGAUGAGCUGGAUGAAGUGGCAGGGGAGAGGGAAGUCAGGCUGCUGUCCCCACGACCCGACCUCGGAUAGGCGGAGGAAGAUGGAUGGAUGGAUG